rnacentral:rRNA from 1 species
UACGUAGGCAGCAAGCGUUGUUCGGAGUUACUGGGCGUAAAGAGUGCGUAGGUGGUGCCCUAAGUCUGUUGUGAAAUCUCCCGGCUUAACUGGGAGGGUGCGGUGGAAACUGGGGUGCUUGAGUGUGGGAGAGGUAAGCGGAAUUCCUGGUGUAGCGGUGAAAUGCGUAGAGAUCAGGAAGAACACCGGUGGCGAAAGCGCUCUGCUGGACUGCAACUGACACUCAGGGACGAAAGCUAGGGGAGCGAAUGGG